rnacentral:rRNA from 1 species
AGAGUUUGAUCCUGGCUCAGAUUAAACGCUGGCGGCAUGCCUUACACAUGCAAGUCGAACGGCAGCGACGGGGGCAACCCGUGGUGGCGAGUGGCGAACGGGUGAGUAAAGCAUCGGAACGUGCCCUGGAGUGGGGAUAACGUAGCGAAAGUUACGCUAAUACCGCAUAUUCUGUGAGCAGGAAAGCAGGGGAUCGCAAGACCUUGCGCUCUGGGAGCGGCCGAUGUCGGAUUAGCUAGUUGGUGGGGUAAAGGCCUACCAAGGCGACGAUCCGUAGCGGGUCUGAGAGGAUGAUCCGCCACACUGGGACUGAGACACGGCCCAGACUCCUACGGGAGGCAGCAGUGGGGAAUUUUGGACAAUGGGCGAAAGCCUGAUCCAGCCAUGCCGCGUGAGUGAAGAAGGCCUUCGGGUUGUAAAGCUCUUUCGGUGGGGAAGAAAUUGCAUAGGCUAAUACCCUGUGUAGAUGACGGUACCUGGAGAAGAAGCACCGGCUAACUACGUG